rnacentral:rRNA from 1 species
UGGGGAAUCUUGGUCAAUGGGCGCAAGCCUGAACCAGCGAUGCCGCGUGAGUGAUGAAGGCCUUCGGGUUGUAAAGCUCUGUGGGGAGGGACGAAAGAGCGCAGUCGAAUAGGCUGCGUGUUGACGGUACCUCCUUAGCAAGCACCGGCUAACUCUGUGCCAGCAGCCGCGGUAAGACAGAGGGUGCAAACGUUGCUCGGAAUCACUGGGCGUAAAGGGCGUGUAGGCGGGAAGGAAAGUCAGAUGUGAAAUCCCUGGGCUCAACCCAGGAACUGCAUUUGAAACUCCCUUUCUUGAGUACCGGAGAGGAAGGUGGAAUACCUGGUGUAGAGGUGAAAUUCGUAGAUAUCAGGUGGAACACCAGUGGCGAAGGCGGCCUUCUGGACGGUAACUGACGCUGAGACGCGAAAGCGUGGGGAGCAAA